AAUAGCUGCAGACAACUUGUCUGCAGUACAAUAUAUAGUUAAGUCAUCUACAAACUGUAGGUAAUUGUAAAGAAGUUAAAAUAGUUGAAAGUUUUUCCAAAUUGACAUUAUUAUAUGCGCCAACAACAUCAAAGAAAAUACCAACCAAUAUUGAAUUACAAGACAGAGCAUUGUGAAUGUCCAAACAAAAAUGACUCAAGCUCUCUCUAGCCGAACGGCCACGCCGAAAACCGAACUGAUUACUAGAUUCGUGUGAAGAGGAAAACUUUCAAAUGUCUGUGACAAGUUACUAUGGGAAGAGAAUGAUGGAGAAAGAUUCAAUGUUGUCAGAGUUGGUAAAUGAUAACUACCUAACGAGUCUGAAGAAACUUGCCAUUCACAAAAUAAUGCUAACGACGCCGAAACAAAAGUCAAAUCUAGUGCAUUUGGCUUCCAUCUAUGCGACCCUACAGUGGUUGGACGUCCAUCAUUCAAGAGAACCAAAUCAUUCUCAUCAGCGACAUCAACAAUAUCUCUCCCUCGCGCGUCAACUUUGCCGCAACCCCAUAAAGUAUGAUGCGCGUUAAAGUCUCCAGCCAAAAUUAUCGGUUUCGGAAUAGUGUGUAUUAAAUCAUUAAAUUUUUUCUUAUUAAAUUCAGGAGUACAGCUUCCUGGGCUGUAAAAACUUACAAUCGAAAUUUGUUUCUGAAAAAUUUGAAUCUGAACAACAAUAUUUUGUAAAGAAUCAUCAUAAAAUGUAUUAAUUUUGUUAUAGACUAUAGUGUUAUGAAUUAAUAUGGCUACUCCAUUGUGAUUAUUACCACAGUCAUUUCUCACAAUAGAGUAUCCUUUCAUGUUAAAUGUGAUAUGUGGUUUGAGCCACGUUUCACUAAUUAUACAAAUGUGGAUGGAAUUAUCUAAUAGAAAUUUUUGUAGUUCAUAUUUAUUACUUGGCAAGCUUUGACUGUUCCAUUGCAUAAUAUUUACUUGGGCAGAGAAUGUGAAAGAUUGUUAUUUUUUUCUUUUAUAGUUUCUUUUAUUGUUUCUGAAAGAAGCUGUGAGUUUAUGCUUGCAUUUUGAGUCUUGUUCAGAGUAAUAGCUUUAAUUAAACAUUCUGUGAGUAACGUAAGUGCGUUUUUAUUUGAGAGAAGUACAUUUAAUAAGUCUUUACUAUUUGUGUUUUCAUUCAAUGAAGGGAAAUUUUGUAAUUUAUUAUUAAAAAGGUCUGCAUAUGAUGUAGUUGUA